ACUAUUAGUGUCGUCUAAAUUUGGUGCCAGAAGACUCGGUAAGACCUUAGACGCAAACGUUAAUCGUCAUAAUCAGGCGUAAAGGGUGUGUAGGCGGCUUUUAAAAUAAAAUAUAAUUAUAGCUAAUGAAUUAUAUUCCAAUAAAAGCUAGAAUCUAAAAGAGGGUAAGCUAAACAACAUAAUUAAUUGGGACUGACAACUUAUAAUAAUGUGGAGUACUAAAGGUUAAAGCUAUUUAUCUACUUAAGAUUGACGCUGAGAAACGAAGGGGAGAAUAAGAAACUUAGAUUAGAGACCUAAUUAUCUCUCUCAGUCAACGAUGAAUGGUAGUUAUUAAAAUAAAAUAAAAUUAUUAGUGACGAGGUUAACACGAUGACCAUUCCGCCUUGUUAGUAAGACUGCAAAGUUGAAAACAAAAAAAUUAGUCGGUCUUGAAGCAAACGAAGUGAAGCAUGUUAUUUAAUUCAUAAUCCGCAGCGGGGGAG
rnacentral:rRNA from 1 species